CGCCGGGCGCCGCAUUCUGCGCUCGGGGCGCCCCGCGGCCGCCGCGGCUCCUGCCCCGCCCGAGACAAAGGCCCGGCGGGGUCGCUCGCUCCGCGCGUCCCGGGCCUGGGCCGCCCGCGUCGCCGCCGCUUUGUUCGCCCCACCCGCAGUCCCCACGCCCGGCGCUGCGACUCGACGACUCGGCGGCUCGGCGGCUCCACGGCUCCGGGGCGCUGGGGGCGCAGGGGGCGCGGCCACGGCCGGGCGGGGCAGGGGCGGGGCCGGAGCACUCGCCUGGCACCUCCCCGUGUCCCAAGCGCCGCCCCCGCCCCCCCACUUCCUGCCCCGCUACCGCCCGCGAAAGUUGCGGUGGGCGGGGGUUGCGGCGCAGGCCCAGGUCCGGCCGACUUUCUCCAAGGGCGCUCGGACUUUGGGGAGCCCUUCUCCCUGGGGGAGCGACCUCGCCCGUGGAGUGAUGGCCGGGCGUCCCCCCGGGUGCCUUUGGUCCUCCGUGGAGGUCAGGAGGUGGUCCCUGUCGCGCUGGGCGCCCUCGCAUGGCCGUUCGGUAACGACAGACUCGGGAGAGGGCACCGGGCUGGGCCGAAGCUUACUGAGCCCCCUUGGCCCAUCAAGCCGCCCCGGCGGGAUACCCGAGGCUGAGGCUGAAGGCACACGGGCCCAGGACUCCCAGAGCCCUCUUCCUGUCCUCCGCCCUGGCCGGGGGCCCAUAGGAAGACCCCCGACCCUGCAUAAAGGCCAGGAUUCCCCAGCUUUUGGCCAAAGUCCUGGCCACUCGCAGCUGCCCAGCGGGCAGUUCCUGGCGUCCAGGGCGGAAUGCGUGACAUGAGUGAGGGCAGGAAGGUGCUCUCCGGCCCAGGGUCGCAGCCGGCCCCGGUGCUGAUCCGCCCUGAUCUCCCUUCUAGGCCACACCCUGGGUGGUGGGGGCGCGGUCUGUCCAGCUGGCAACGUGUGACGGUAGGAGGGGCUUCAAGGACAAACAGAUUCUGCAACUGAAAUUAUAUGGAUCCUGGCUCAGCUGCCGGGAACCGCGGGUUUUCACUGCUGAUUCACUGGGGGACACCAGGCAAGUCCAAGCCCUUCUCUGAGACUGGCUCAGCCCGGAGGCUGGGGUGCGGUGUCUGAGGGCUCCCACCCUGGACUCCGGUGGAAUCCUGGGCCUGUAUGAGCUGGGGCUGCACUGCAGCCCCCGGACCCCUUACCCCGUGGCUUCCCUGCGCAGGGGCCGGAACGGGGAUGCGAGCGCAGAGAGGGUCCCCUGGGCCCAGGGCCUCCGAUGGGGGUCCUGUCCUGGAAAUUGGUCUCUGCAGAGUCAGACUCACCCCUUCUCCACUGAGGUGGAAGCAGGGGGUCCCAGCUUAGGGUCUGGCCCGUAGAGAGAGGUCAGGAAGGAGCUGGCCCCUGCAGCAGUAAACUCAGGCCAGGUGGCUGGUGAGGCGGGGGCUCAGGUCUCUUGCCCUUCCCCGAGGAAGCAGCAGUGGGCACCUUUAGGGCAAGGGGGAGAGCUUUCCUCACCGAAGCAAGAUGGGGCAGCAGGUGGACCCAUCAGCAUCUCCCUAAGAAAUCAGAAAGCCAGGAGUGAAACCUGAGCGGGGCCCUCCAGCCCCAUCUGAGAGCCUACACUGAUCCCUCCUCCUGCAAAGCCUCAUCCCCUCCUCUCUAGAGCGGGGAGACCCGGCUCCCACUGGACUUGCUUGUGAAGAAUGGACGGAUAAAUUACCCAGAGGCUUCCCACUGUGCUGGGACAGAAAGGGCUCAGAGAGGAAGAAGAGCUACCCACUCUCCCAACCCCUCGCCUGGACCGCCGGCGCAUUGAUGCACUAAAUGUCUCUUUCCCCAGGUGGCUCCCUCAGCAAGAAGGGGGCCUCUGUCCUCACGGUCCUGGGCCUGCCUGCUCUGGCCAAGAGGACCAGCCAGGUCUGGGACCCAGGCAGCCGCCCGCCAACAAUGCCAUGGGUACCUGCUGCCCCCUGGUGGUGCUGUCACCACGGGGCACCUGGCUGCACCCAGGAGGGGCUGCACAGAAAAUCUGGGGUUGACCGUUGAGAAGACCCAACUCAGGAGACACAGACUUCACCACAGUGGCCCUGAGCCACUCAGGCCUCCCUGGUUCCCAGGUCCUGAUCGGCAUAGGACAUUCACCGGCCCUGUGCACCUCCCAGAAUCCUUGGAGGCUCUGAGGGCAGGAUGGAUGUGAAUCAAAGAACAAAAGUUUGGUGGGGCCAGGUACAGCAGCUCAAGCCUGUAGUCCCAGCACUUUGGGAGGCUCAGGCAGGCAGAUGGCUUGAGUCCAGGAGUUCAAGACCAGCCUGGGCAACACAGUGGGUCCCUGUCUCAAAAAUAAAAUAAAAGGUAAAGAAAAUGGGGCAGGAGCUCCCUUUGUAACCUUUAGUGUGAGUGUAAUGAUGAACAGGUUGAGACUGUGGACUCAAGGCACAUGCCAGGAAGACUAAUAGAGAGGACGCUGUUUGGGAAAAUCCUACCACCAUCCAUGUCCACUUGGACUCAGGGCUGUCUGCCAGGACUGCCUGCUGCACACCUCCAGGGGGCGAGAGUCCCAUCACACCUUGGAGAUGGGCUCCAGGGGGAGCUGCUUACACAGACUGCCAGUGAGCAGCUGCCAGUCCAGCCGAGCAGAUUAAACCAGGGAGCAAGAAGUGCCAGCAUGGGCCACAUACCCCAAGUAUGGGGGAGGGUCACAGGUGGCGGAGGAGGGCACCAGGCAGGGCACACCCGGGGAGGGAGCAGCAAGGCUUCCAGGAGAAACUGAGGUUUGAGUUGACAACCAGAGAUUGAUCAUGGUUGCAGUGACUAGGAGAGGGUGACAUGGAGGAUGGAGAGCUUGGACAGGAGUUGAUUUUUAAACCACAAAGGAAUUCAGUGUUGCCAUGAUCUCAGGCAUUGAACAAUAAACCGCAGUGUCCUCCUGAGCUCCUGUCUCAUUCUCCCCGGCAGCCAUGUGGGCAGCGAGUCCCAGCAGUCCACCUUCCUGUUCUGUCCAGCAUCUGCCCCCUCCUGGCCCACCCCCACCAAGCCCCAGGCCCCCUCUCCUUGGACCCGCUUCCACCCUUCCACCUGUCCUCCGCAGCCAGCAAGGACCCAGUCGGCCCUCAGUGACACCCUGUCUCUCUUCUGCGCGGAUGGGCACCUCGGGGCUCCCGCCUCACUGGAGGUAAAAUCUAGCAAAUCACUGUAAUUGUAAUUUUUAAAUCCAAUAUAUUCUUUCAUGGAAGCCACAGAUGCGUUAAACUGAUCCAAAGACAGCUUAUAAAAGGCAAUGUAAUCGGAGGCUGGACGUGGUGGCUCAUGCCUGUAAUCCCAGCACUUUGGGAGGCUGAGGCGGGUGGAUCCCUUGAGUCCAGGAGUUCAAGACCAGCCUAGGCAACAAGGUGAAACGCUGUCUCCACCAAAAUACAAAAAUUAGCCUGGCAUGGUGGUGCACGCCUAUAGUCCCAGCUACUUGGGAGGCUGAGGUGGGAGGAUCACUUGAGCCCAGGAGGCAGAGGUUGCAUCGAGUCGAGAUCGUACCACUGCACUCCAGCCUGGGUGACAAAGUGAGACCCCAUCUCAAAAAAAAUAAAAAAUAAAAGGCAAUAUAAU
rnacentral:lncRNA from 10 species